rnacentral:rRNA from 1 species
UACGUAGGGUGCGAGCGUUAAUCGGAAUUACUGGGCGUAAAGCGUGCGCAGGCGGUUCGUUAAGUUCGUUGUGAAAGCCCCGGGCUCAACCUGGGAAUGGCAAUGGAAACUGGCGGGCUGGAGUGCGGCAGAGGGGGGUGGAAUUCCGCGUGUAGCAGUGAAAUGCGUAGAGAUGCGGAGGAACACCGAUGGCGAAGGCAGCCCCCGGGGCCGACACUGACGAUCAGGCACGAAAGCGUGGGGAGCAAACAGG